CAGAACGGCGAUGGCCGGAUCACCAAAAAGGAGCUCAACCAUUCCUUAGAGAAAAUGGGUAUUUUCAUACCCGACACGGAGUUGACUCAAAUGAUCGAAAAAAUCGAUGUUAAUGCAGAUGGGUGUGUGGAUAUUGAUGAAUUUGAUUCGUUGUACCAAACGAUAAUGAACGAGAAGGACGAGGAUGAAGAUAUGAGAGAUGCAUUCAAUGUGUUUGAUCAAAAUGGUGAUGGGUUUAUCACCGUUGAUGAACUGAAAUCGGUUUUGGCAUCACUUGGCCUUAAGCAAGGAAGAACUGCAGAGGAUUGUAAGACGAUGAUAAUGAAG
rnacentral:lncRNA from 1 species